rnacentral:rRNA from 1 species
GACGAACGCUGGCGGCGUGCUUAACACAUGCAAGUCGAACGGAAACGCCCUGCUUUUGUGCGGUGCUCGAGUGGCGAACGGGUGAGUAACACGUAAGUAACGUGCCCUUGACUUUGGGAUAACUUCAGGAAACUGGGGCUAAUACCAGAUAGGAGCUCCUGCUGCAUGGUGGGGGUUGGAAAGUUUCGGCGGUUGGGGAUGGACUCGCGGCUUAUCAGCUUGUUGGUGGGGUAGUGGCUUACCAAGGCUUGGAACGGUAGCCGGCAUGAGAGGGUGACCGGCGACAUUGGGACUGAGAUACGGCCCAGACUGGUACGGGAGGCAGCAGUGGGGAGUAUUGCACAGUGGGAGGAAGCCUGAUGCGGCAACGCCGCGUGCGGGAUGACGGCCUGCGGGUUGUGAACCGCUGUCGCCUGUGACGAAGCGUGAGUGACGGUAACGGGUGAAGAAGCACCGGCUAACUACGUG